rnacentral:rRNA from 1 species
CCUACGGGGUGCAGCAGUGGGGAAUAUUGGGCAAUGGGCGCAAGCCUGACCCCGCAACGCCGCGGUGAGGAAGGAGGCUCUCGGGUUGUCAACUUCUUUUAUCAGGGACGAAACAAGUGGCGGUACCUUAUUGAUAAGCCACGGCUAACUACGUUCCAGCAGCCGCGGUAAUACGUAGGUGGCAAGCAUUAUCCGGAUUUACUGGGUGGAAAGGGCGUGUAGGAGGGAAAGCAAGUCAGAUGUGAAAACCAUGGGCUCAACCUGUGGCCUGCAUUUGAAACUGUUUUUCUUGAGUACUGGAGAGGCAGACGGAAUUCCUAGUGUAGCGGUGAAAUGCGUAGAUAUUAGGAGGAACACCAGUGGCGAAGGCGGUCUGCUGGACAGCAACUGACGCUGAGGCGCGAAAGCGUGGGGAGCAAACAGGAUUAGAUACCCCUGUAGUC